rnacentral:rRNA from 1 species
UACGGAGGGUGCAAGCGUUAAUCGGAAUUACUGGGCGUAAAGCGCACGCAGGCGGUCUGUUAAGUCAGAUGUGAAAUCCCCGGGCUCAACCUGGGAACUGCAUUUGAAACUGGCAAGCUAGAGUCUCGUAGAGGGGGGUAGAAUUCCAGGUGUAGCGGUGAAAUGCGUAGAGAUCUGGAGGAAUACCGGUGGCGAAGGCGGCCCCCUGGACGAAGACUGACGCUCAGGUGCGAAAGCGUGGGGAGCAAACAGG